rnacentral:rRNA from 1 species
GCUUGACUGUAGCCUGAGAUUGGGUUUGGGCUCCUCUUGCGCAGCCUAGGUGGGAGGCCUUGACCGCCUGCUUCCGGGGAGGCGGGAGCCGCCUGUGAGAGACCACCCUUGAGGAGCAUAGAUUCUAAUGGCGAUCCUGGAACCAGGACGGUUGACAGUCUCAGGUGGGCAGUUUCACUGGGCGGUGGCCUCCUAAAGGGUAACGGAGGUGUGCAAAGGUCCCCUCAGGCUGGACGGGAAUCAGUCGCCGAGUGUAAAGGCAGAAGGGGCUUGACUGCAAGACCCACAAGUCGAGCAGGGGCGAAAGCCGGCCUUAGUGAUCCGACGGCACCCUGUGGAAGGGCCGUCGCUCAACGGAUAAAAGUUA